AUUGAACGCUGGCGGCAGGCCUAACACAUGCAAGUCGAACGAGUGGCGGACGGGUGAGUAAUGUCUGGGAAACUGCCUGAUGGAGGGGGAUAACUACUGGAAACGGUAGCUAAUACCGCAUACCAUCAGAUGUGCCCAGAUGGGAUUAGCUAGUUGGUGGGGUAACGGCUCACCAAGGCGACGAUCCCUAGCUGGUCUGAGAGGAUGACCAGCAAAACGUGAACUGAGCCACGGUCCAGACUCCUACGUGAGGCAGCAGGGGGGAAUAUUGCACAAGGGGCGCAAGCCUGAUGCAGCCAUGCCGCGUGUAGGAAGAAGGCCGUCGGGUUGUAAAGCACUUUCAGCGAGGAGGCGUUACCCGCAGAAGAAGCACCGGCUAACUCCGUGCCAGCAGCCGCGGUAAUAC
rnacentral:rRNA from 1 species